GACGAACGCUGGCGGCGUGCCUAAUACAUGCAAGUAGAACGCUGAAGAGAGGAGCUUGCUCUUCUUGGAUGAGUUGCGAACGGGUGAGUAACGCGUAGGUAACCUGCCUUGCAGCGGGGGAUAACUAUUGGAAACGAUAGCUAAUACCGCAUAACAAUGGAUGACACAUGUCAUUUAUUUGAAAGGGGCAAUUGCUCCACUACAAGAUGGACCUGCGUUGUAUUAGCUAGUAGGUGAGGUAAUGGCUCACCUAGGCGACGAUACAUAGCCGACCUGAGAGGGUGAUCGGCCACACUGGGACUGAGACACGGCCCAGACUCCUACGGGAGGCAGCAGUAGGGAAUCUUCGGCAAUGGGGGCAACCCUGACCGAGCAACGCCGCGUGAGUGAAGAAGGUUUUCGGAUCGUAUAGCUCUGUUGUAAGUCAAGAACGGGUGUGAGAGUGGAAAGUUCACACUGUGACGGUAGCUUACCAGAAAGGGACGGCUAACUACGUG
rnacentral:rRNA from 1 species